CCCCCCCCCCUCCUCCUCCAGCUCCAUCCAACCAGGAAAUGAACUGUCACAGGAAGUCCCUGCUUCAAUAAAGAAUCACAGAGUUGAAGGCCAGAAGGGACCACCAGAUCACCUUGUCUCGCCUGUAUAUCAGAGGCCACUUUCUCCUCUACCUCUCAAUGGUGCUUGGGGAACAUUGCAAUGGGCCCAGUCUUGCAAAGUGCUGAUCGCUGGGUGCUCAGCUCUGUUCAGGGUUGGGCCUGCAGUCCUGGCACACCUCAAAUCCUCAUUGAUUACACUGGAUUGAUUAGUGCAUAAACGCUUUAGGAUUGGAGCCCUCAGAGUUGCUUUCCAUGCUGUACCCCUUUGUUGGUCUUGUAUCUUUAGACUGCAACCCUGCGAUGAGCUCCACACGGGCAGCAGAAUUGCCAGUCCAAAGCAUUCAGAACUCAGGAAUCGUGUUUCAAAAAAUCAUGACACUGACUUAGGAAUUAUGAGAUUUUUCUAAUCCUUGAGCCUUUAGAUCUCACAACUUCACAACUGUUCUCUGCAACCAUGAGGGCUAAAAACUUACUAAGAAAGAAAGAAAAGUGAAA